UGGGGAAUAUUGCACAAUGGGCGCAAGCCUGAUGCAGCCAUGCCGCGUGUAUGAAGAAGGCCUUCGGGUUGUAAAGUACUUUCAGCGGGGAGGAAGGCGAUAAGGUUAAUAACCUUGUCGAUUGACGUUACCCGCAGAAGAAGCACCGGCUAACUCCGUGCCAGCAGCCGCGGUACUACGGAGGGUGCACGCGUUAAUCGGAAUUACUGGGCGUAAAGCGCACGCAGGCGGUCUGUCAAGUCGGAUGUGAAAUCCCCGGGCUCAACCUGGGAACUGCAUUCGAAACUGGCAGGCUAGAGUCUUGUAGAGGGGGGUAGAAUUCCAGGUGUAGCGGUGAAAUGCGUAGAGAUCUGGAGGAAUACCGGUGGCGAAGGCGGCCCCCUGGACAAAGACUGACGCUCAGGUGCGAAAGCGUGGGGAGCAAACA
rnacentral:rRNA from 1 species